GACGAACGCUGGCGGCGUGCCUAAUACAUGCAAGUAGAACGCACAGUUUAUACCGUAGCUUGCUACACCAUAGACUGUGAGUUGCGAACGGGUGAGUAACGCGUAGGUAACCUGCCUGGUAGCGGGGGAUAACUAUUGGAAACGAUAGCUAAUACCGCAUAAUAUUAAUUAUUGCAUGAUAAUUAAUUGAAAGGUGCAAUUGCACCACUACCAGAUGGACCUGCGUUGUAUUAGCUAGUAGGUGAGGUAACGGCUCACCUAGGCGACGAUACAUAGCCGACCUGAGAGGGUGAUCGGCCACACUGGGACUGAGACGCGGCCCAGACUCCUACGGGAGGCAGCAGUAGGGAAUCUUCGGCAAUGGACGAAAGUCUGACCGAGCAACGCCGCGUGAGUGAAGAAGGGUUUCGGAUCGUAAAGCUCUGUUGUAAGAGAAGAACGGGUGUGAGAGUGGAAAGUUCACACUGUGACGGUAUCUUACCAGAAAGGGACGGCUAACUACGUG
rnacentral:rRNA from 1 species